UUCAGGGAUUAGGAAGGUUUAACAGGCAAAUGAGCCUAUGACCCCUAUCAUUGGAAAGUUAUGGGCCAUUUAUAAAACGUUUGGGCCAUUAGGGUAAAUAAAUGGGCCAGUAAAAAUUUUAACAAAGGUUUAUUGCUUGUGUAUUACAGUCUAUACCUAUAUCUGUUUCGUCCGUUUCACGGUCGUUUUCGCUCACAGUAUCACGAUUCUGCUCCGCUGUUGUGUUGAAAAAUGUAGACAACGUUCUCUGCGAGCUGUCCAAUCUCACGAUUUUUUUCGGAGGCAUGAGGCUAAUCGAUGCAAAUACAUUCAAAGCGACGAAAACGCUCGAACUCUACUCGAAAACGAAAGCACAUGGAACUCCGAGCAAUAGCCUCGUUUGUAUGCAAAGUCCGAGUUCAGAAUCUGGGAACAAGAAUAAAGCGAGCGUGAUCAAACGAGCGAAGGCACCGUAGUUUUUCGCUUGUUUAUGUCUCACCAAAGUGAAACUUUUACAAAUUACAAUCCUUUUCACAAAAUAGUUUGUAUUUCACUAGCUUUGUGCGGUCAGGGCGUAUCACAGGCCCGGAAAUCAACAAGCCGAUGAAGUUAACACCAAUGAGGUCACAGGCACAGAUCAAGGUCAAAAUCAGCCAAUGGCUACACAAGAAGCACGCGC